rnacentral:rRNA from 1 species
AGAGUUUGAUCCUGGCUCAGGAUGAACGCUGGCGGCAUGCCUAAUACAUGCAAGUCGAACGAGGAUCCUUCGGGAUCCUAGUGGCGAACGGGUGAGUAACACGUAGGGAACCUGCCCGCGCACCGGGAAUACGCUCUGGAAACGGAGAACAAAUCCCGAUGUACAGGAAGGAGGCAUCUUCUUUCUGUGAAACAUCCUGUAAGGGAUGGGGCGCGGAUGGACCUGCGGUGCAUUAGUUGGUUGGCGAGGGUAAAGGCCCACCAAGACGAUGAUGCAUAGCCGGCCUGAGAGGGCGGACGGCCACAUUGGGACUGAGACACGGCCCAGACUCCUGCGGGAGGCAGCAGUAGGGAAUUUUCGUCAAUGGGCGCAAGCCUGAACGAGCGAUGCCGCGUGAGUGAAGAAGGCCUUCGGGUCGUAAAGCUCUGUUGCGGGGGAAAAAAGGCAUCUGCAGGAAAUGGUAGAUGACAGAUGGUGCCCCGCCAGAAAGUCACGGCUAACUACGUGCCAGCAGCCGCGGUAAUACGUAGGUGGCGAGCGUUAUCCGGAAUGAUUGGGCGUAAAGGGUGCGCAGGCGGUCCUGCAAGUCUGGAGUGAAACGUAUGAGCUCAACUCAUGCAUGGCUCUGGAAACUGGAGGACUGGAGAGCAGGAGAGGGCGGUGGAACUCCAUGUGUAGCGGUAAAAUG